CUGGGACAUGCGUCGGAAUGAGAACAAUAGCAAGACCGCUAAUGUUGUUAUUGGCGAUGUUGACAUGAAAGAUGUCGGGUCGCAAGAACUACACCCGUGCUGAUGGGAAACGGGACACAUGCUUCUGUUCAUGGUGUUGGUACGGUCGAUCUGAAGUUUACUUCGGGAAAGAUCGUGCGACUGAAGAACGUGCAGCAUGUCCCUGCUAUAAAUAAAAAUCUUGUCAGCGGUUCUUGUUUGUGUCGAGAUGGUUAUAAAUUGGUAUUUGAGUCCAAUAAGGUUGUAGUAUCUAAGUGUGGACAAUUUGUUGGGAAGGGCUAUGAGAGCGGAGGCUUGUUCCGCUUAUCUUUGUCAGACUUUUGCACUAAAGUUAUUAAUCAUGUUUGCAGUGAAACCGAA